GGCUACCAUGCAGUCGAGGGGCAGCAUUUCAGUUUGCUUGCAAACUGGAGAUGGCGACCGGCGCUCGGGUGAGUAACACGUAUCCAACCUGCCGAUAACUCGGGGAUAGCCUUUCGAAAGAAAGAUUAAUACCCGAUGGNAUAAUCAGACCGCAUGGUCUNAUUAUUAAAGAAUUUCGGUUAUCGAUGGGGAUGCGUUCCAUUAGGCAGUUGGUGAGGUAACGGCUCACCAAACCUUCGAUGGAUAGGGGUUCUGAGAGGAAGGUCCCCCACAUUGGAACUGAGACACGGUCCAAACUCCUACGGGAGGCAGCAGUGAGGAAUAUUGGUCAAUGGGCGCAGGCCUGAACCAGCCAAGUAGCGUGAAGGAUGACUGCCCUAUGGGUUGUAAACUUCUUUUAUAUGGGAAUAAAGUUUUCCACGUGUGGAAUUUUGUAUGUACCAUAUGAAUAAGGAUCGGCUAACUCCGUGCCAGCAGCCGCGGUAAUACGGAGGAUCCGAGCGUUAUCCGGAUUUAUUGGGUUUAAAGGGAGCGUAGGUGGACAGUUAAGUCAGUUGUGAAAGUUUGCGGCUCAACCGUAAAAUUGCAGUUGAUACUGGCUGUCUUGAGUACAGUAGAGGUGGGCGGAAUUCGUGGUGUAGCGGUGAAAUGCUUAGAUAUCACGAAGAACUCCGAUUGCGAAGGCAGCUCACUGGACUGCAACUGACACUGAUGCUCGAAAGUGUGGGUAUCAAACAGGAUUAGAUACCCUGGUAGUCCACACAGUAAACGAUGAAUACUCGCUGUUUGCGAUAUACAGUAAGCGGCCAAGCGAAAGCAUUAAGUAUUCCACCUGGGGAGUACGCCGGCAACGGUGAAACUCAAAGGAAUUGACGGGGGCCCGCACAAGCGGAGGAACAUGUGGUUUAAUUCGAUGAUACGCGAGGAACCUUACCCGGCCUUAAAUUGCAUUUGAAUANUNUGGAAACAGNNUAGCCGNAAGGCAAAUGUGAAGGUGCUGCAUGGUUGUCGUCAGCUCGUGCCGUGAGGUGUCGGCUUAAGUGCCAUAACGAGCGCAACCCUUAUCUUUAGUUACUAACAGGUCAUGCUGAGGACUCUAGAGAGACUGCCGUCGUAAGAUGUGAGGAAGGUGGGGAUGACGUCAAAUCAGCACGGCCCUUACGUCCGGGGCUACACACGUGUUACAAUGGGGGGUACAGAAGGCAGCUACCUGGUGACAGGAUGCUAAUCCCAAAAGCCUCUCUCAGUUCGGAUCGAAGUCUGCAACCCGACUUCGUGAAGCUGGAUUCGCUAGUAAUCGCGCAUCAGCCAUGGCGCGGUGAAUACGUUCCCGGGCCUUGUACACACCGCCCGUCAAGCCAUGAAAGCCGGGGGUACCUGAAGUACGAACCGCAAGGAGCUCCUAGGAAA
rnacentral:rRNA from 1 species